CGUAACGAGCUUGCCGGAUUGUUCGAGAGGUAGUGCAUGGCCGUCGUCAGUUCGUACCGCAAGGCGUUCUGUUAAGUCAGAUAACGAACGAGACCCUCAUCCCUAUUUGCUAACCCGAUCUCCGGAUCAGGCGCACUAUAGGGAGACCGCUGGCGCGAAGUCAGAGGAAGGCGAGGGCAACGGUAGGUCAGUAUGCUCCGAAUGCUAUGGGCUACACGCGCAAUACAAAGGACGGGACAAUGGGCUGCUGCUCCGAAAGGAACGAUGGCUAUCCCGAAACCCGUUCGUAGUUCGGAUUGAGGGCUGUAACUCGCCCUCAUGAAGCUGGAUUUCGUAGUAAUCGCGUCUCAAAAUGGCGCGGUGAAUAUGCCCCUGCUCCUUGCACACACCGCCCGUCAAACCAUCUUAGUUGUGGGUGGGUGAGGCUACCUCUCUGUGUGGUAUUCGAGCCUGCCUUCGACAAGGAGGGUUAAGUCGUAACAAGGUAUCUGUAGGGGAACCUGCAGAUG
rnacentral:rRNA from 1 species